UAUCAUGGAAAUUAUGUGUAAAAUUAUAGCAUGUGACUGUACUUUUCUCUUCCUUACAGAGGAGGUGCUGUAGCCAAUCUGGCUACAUUUUCAUUUUCUAGGACUACAUCAUACCUCAACAAUCAAGGAAGUGUGAACACAAAACCUCAGAUAGUGAACCAUGUCCCUUCCUGGGCCUCACUAUAUCAGAUUCCCAUAGCUUCUUGCUCCAAGCCAUGCCAGUCUAAGCAUGAAGAGGACAUGGAGAGAGAACAGUUUGGAGGAAUGCUGUGUACAUUGAUCUGCUUUUGAAACAUUUUAGAACUUUUUGCUAGUGCCACUAGAAAUUCAGAAAAGAUUGAAGCUAUUGGAAUAGUGUCCUGGUUUUCAUAACAACAACAACAACAACAACAACAACAACAACAACAACAACAACAACAACAAAAGGAUGAUGAAACUGGCAUAAAAAUAAUGUAUUCAAGACUCACCCAUAGCAAAACCAAUAAUUUCCUGGAGUAAACUAAAAUACAUCUUUUUUUCCCCCUCAGUGGCACAGCAGGAUGAAUUCUUUUUCUUGAUCAUUUGCAAAUGGCCUGUUGCCAAUCAAGAUCAAAAGUUGUAAAAGGCUCACCCUUAGAGGAGCCAUUAAUCACUGAUGACCCAACUUUCAGGAAGAAAAUAUCUAGAAUUCCUAGAAGUGAGAUUCAUGGAAGGUAAUGAGAGAAUGAAUGUAUUUGAAGACUGAUAAAGGAGGCUUCUGGGAGAAACUUUUUACUGUGGCUGACCUCUAUUCCCAUCCAUAGUUAUGAUUCUCUUCUUUUUUCCUCUUAUCUAGG